rnacentral:rRNA from 1 species
UACGUAGGGGGCAAGCGUUGUCCGGAUUUAUUGGGCGUAAAGAGCGUGUAGGCGGCCUGACAGGUCUGCUGUGAAAACUCGAGGCUCAACCUCGAGAUGUCGGCGGAAACCGUCUGGCUAGAGUCCGGAAGAGGAGAGUGGAAUUCCUGGUGUAGCGGUGAAAUUCGUAGAUAUUCGGAAGAACACCAGUGGCGAAGGCGGCUCACUGGCCCGGUACUGACGCUGAGGUGCGAAAGCGUGGGGAGCAAACAGG